CUUUCAGGAUCCCUUCUUAAUAAAUAUUAUAAGAGCAAUACGAGCACUUCAAGAAAUCCAAACUAGUUGGUAAUAGUUCUAGCGGAUAACCAAACUAAUCCCAAUUAGGAAAAUGUUGGUCAUACUUCUACAGAAGACAAUGUUGACAUCAACAUGGAUGAUACCAGUGUGAGUGAUCAUGCGCCCAUAUUCAAUCCAUCUGCCGUAGAAUUUGCUAGUGUUGAUGAGGAACCGGUUAUUACUAUGGAUAUUUAUGUUCCAAGCAAUUUGGGUAAUCUUGAUAAUAAAGCGAGGGAUAUAUUAGUGGAAAAGGGGCCUAAAAGGGAAGAAGAGAACACUAAAUAUUCUUUGGAUGAAAAUUCAAUACAUUUUUCGUAUAGCCAUUACUCAAGAAAAAUGUUCAUUGGAGAGGUGCGAGUGAUAGGAAAUGGCUAG
rnacentral:rRNA from 1 species